rnacentral:rRNA from 1 species
CACAUAGUUAGCCGGGGCUUCCUCCUUAGGUACAGUCUUUUAUCUUCCCUAAUGACAAUAGUUUACAAUCCGAAAACCUUCUUCCUAUACGCGGCGUCACUGCGUCAGAGUUUCCUCCAUUGCGCAAUAUUCCCGACUGCUGCCUCCCGUAGGAGUCUGGGCCGUAUCUCAGUCCCAAUGUGGCCGUUCAACCUCUCAGUCCGGCUACUGAUCGUAGUCUUGGUAGGCCGUUACCCCACCAACUAACUAAUCAGACGCAAGCCCAUCUAUCAGCGGAUUACUCCUUUCCUCACUGUAUCAUGUGAUACUGUGAGCAUAUGCGGUAUUAGCAAUGAUUUCUCACUGUUAUUCCCCUCUGAUAGGCAGGUUGCUUACGUGUUACUCACCAGUCCGCCACUAACCGCUCUCAAUCUAAAAGAAUGAGUUAAGUCCGUUCGACUUGCAUGUCUUAUGUGCGCCGCCAGCGUUUUAUCCUGAGCCAGGAUCAAACU